rnacentral:tRNA from 1 species
GUGUAGUUAGCUGAUCAAUGGUUAGAGCAUCACUCAUGAACACUGAGGCUGUGGGUUCAAGUCCCACAUUACAAA